GGGGUGAGGAGGUUGGGGGUGAGGAGGUUGGGGGUGAGGAGGUUGGGAGGUGAGGAGGUUGGGGGGUGAGGAGGUGAGAGGGUGAGGAGGUGGGGGGGUGAGGAGGUGAGGGAGUGAGGGAGAGCACAAGCUGAGAAAACCAACUGCCUAGGUCCUGCCCAGGGCGACCUCUCUGGCAGAGUCGCCAGGCAAGGAGGACAAAAUAAGGCAAUGCAACACUUAAAUGAAUAGUCAAACUUGCCCCAAAUCACAAUGCAGACCUUCCGGAGCCAGGCGGGAUGCAGAGAGGACUCCUUUCUCCUCAACAAGGGAGGGCUGGGGAAACUCAAGUCAAGCAGAUCAAAGAGUAAUUUGCCUGCUUUCCCAAACCCAGACAUCAGCUGCUGCCGUUCCUAUGUGAGGAAGGGUUUACCCCACAGCCGUGGGAAGAAGGGAGCAGCAACACUUGUCCCAUGUUUUGGGGGUGAGAGGGUAAUGACAGGGAGACAGAGGGCCUGGGGCUGAACCCUCCACACUCCCAGCCUCAGAGAGGGGCCGGAGGGCGGUGCCCACACCCUGCACCCUCACCCGCUCACUCUUUACCCUUGUCGUGCCCCCUACUUCCCUCCAGCUUUAACAUAAGAAUCAGACCAAGCAGGCAGCCCUUCUCCUCUUCGAGAGUGAAGUGACAUGGGAGAGGAGGCAGGAGCCAAGAGAUGCCUUGCUCACCUGGCUGUGGGCCAGGGAAGGUCUCCUUAGCGUGAGGCAGCCCUGCUGGAACUCUGUUCUGGUGAGUGGCUCUCAGCUCACCUGCUUGUCGCAGCUCUUUCCUCUUGUCCGUUUCUGAGCCUGCAUGGUCCCUAAAAGCUUAGUCUUUUCACCACGUCUCUCUGGAUAGCAGCAGCAGCCUCCAGACAGCCUGCAGACUGCGUGUGUGUGGUGUGUUGUGGGGUGUGGGGUGUGUGUGGUGUGUGUAGUGUGUCGGGUGUAUGUGUGUGUCUGGUAUGUGCGUUGCAUGCAUGUGGUGUAUAGGAAUGUGUGGUCUGGGCUCUGUGUGGUGCAUGUGUGUGAGGGUAAUUUUGUGGUGUGGGGUAUGUGUGCACUAUGUGUAUAAAAUUGUGUGUUGGUGGAGGGUGUGGGUUGGGGCUGUGGGAUGAUCAUCACUGGAAGGUGAACCGCAGCUCCAUGAUAACCUUUUGUGCAUACACGUCAUUUGUAAUUAGCCAGGUCUGGAGAGUUCGAAACUGGGAGAAGAGAAAGAAGAGAAGAGAGAAAAGGAAAAUUAAUGAAACAAGUAACCUGCCUUAUAUGGAUAUUUGAUUUGCUUGUUUGCACAUUGUUUAGUCCUUACAAGCUCUGAAAAUAAAACACAAGCACAGUAUCAGGCUCAAUUAGGUGCUUAAGAAAUACCUUUUGAUGAUGACAAAUGGCAGGGAUGUUAAUGACACUGCUUCCCUCCAGCUCCUGCUGCACAGAGCGCCCUUGGCUCUUCAGACUUACAGCUCUUUGCCUGAGCUGCUGUGAGCAAGCCUCUGCUGCCCACAGGAGAUGGCCCUGUGGGCAGGGCCUCCCUGUGUCUUUUCACCUUUUGAGACAACCCCAUCCACCUCUUUGGGCAGCAGCUCAUAGCAGGUGCUCCCUGAACAUGUCUGCCUUUGACUUGAAGGGGUCGGGACGCCGCUUGAGGAUGCUAAAGGGAGGCAGCUCAUUGUAAUGCCUUCACCUCCACCACUUCCAGGAACUCCUCCUCUCCUUGUGGAUCUCAGGGCUCAUACGGUUUGCCCAGAGCCCAACAGCUACAAGUGCACUCAAACAGAACAUUCCUCCGUGCGUUUGCUCUUGCAAAAUGUGUGUUGGGGGCGGGGGCGGUGGCUCAUGCCUGUAAUCCCAGCACUUUGGGAGGCUGAGGAGGGUGGAUCACCUGAUAUUAGGAGUUUGAGACCAGCCCGGCCAACAUGGUGAAACCCCGUCUCUACUAAAAAUACAAAAAUCAGUCCAGCGUGGUAGCAGGUGCCUAUAAUCCCAGCUACCUGGAGGCUGAGGCAUGAGAAUCGCUUGAAACCGGGAGGCAGAGGUUGCAGUGAGCUGAGAUCGUGCCACUGCACUCCAGCCUGGGCCACAGGGUGAGACUCCGUCUCAAAAAAAAAAAAAAAAUGUGUGUUGGAUCCCAUGGUUCCCCUGCUGCCCAACACACCGAGAACCAAACGCACACUUGCACGCUCGCCGUGGGGCCUCAGUCACCUCCUGACUCCCAAACACACAGCUCUCACUGCUGCCUCCCGUGCUCCCCCAGGCCAGCGCUGGCUCUCUCAGUGCUAGUAUCUUUUUAUAAGGAUACCAGUCGUGCUGCAUUAGAGCCCACCCUACUCCAGCAUGACCUCAUCCUAACUUAACUAAUUACAUCUGCAGUGACCCAAUUUCCAAAUAAGUUCACAUUCUGAAUUACUGGGGGAAUAGAAUUUCAACAUAUGAAUUUUGAGGGGACACAGUUCAACCCAUUACUGCAGCUAUCCACAGAAGAAAGUCCAAAUUCCUUAUGUGGCAUUCAAGGCCCUCUGUAAUCCAAUGAGAUCCACGUUUCCAGCUGUUUCUCUUCUUCUUCUCCCCUAGGUGCACACAUGUGAUACUGUUUUGUAUCAAGGCAGGAUUCUGAGAUUAAGUGAAGAAAGGGGAACAGUUAGGAGAGUAGCAUCUGCUGAAUGUUUACUAAAUGCCACCGUCAAUGACAAGUGUGUUUUAUCUACGUCACUCUACUUUUUUUUUUUUUUUUUUGAAACAGAAUCUCACUCUAUUGCCCAUGCCGGAGAGCAGUGGUGCGAUCACAGCUCACUGCAGCCUCAAACUCCUGGGCUCAAUCAAUCCUCCCAAUGCAGCCACUGUGGAAAAUGGUAUAACUUUCUCAAAAAUUAAAAAUAGAAUUAUCAAAUGAUCCAGCACUUCCACUUCUGAGUAUAUACCCAAAAGAAUUCUAAGCAGAGAUUCAAACAGAUAUCUGCACACUCAUAUUUAUAGCAGCAUUAUUCACAAUAGCCAAGAGGUGCAAACAACCAAAGUGUCCAUCAAGAGCUGAAUGGAUAAACAAAAUGUGGUCUAUCCAUACAAUGGAAUAUUACUCAGGCUUGAAAAGGAAGAAGAUUCUGAUACAUGCUACAACAUGAAUGAACCUUGAGGACAUUAUGCUAAAUGAAAUAAGCCAGUUUCAAAAGGAUAAAAACUAUAUGAUUCUACUUACAUGAGGUACAUAGAACAGUGAAAUUCACAGAGACAGAAAGUUGAAUGGUGGUUUCCAGGGGCAAAAAAAAAAACAAGGGAAGAUUCACACUCCCUUGCAGGUUUCUCUCCACAGACCUCACCAGGUGUCAAAAAAAGAGUUCUCCAGGGGAUUCCAAUGUCUGCCAAGCUGUAAAGCCAUCGGCCUUUUGGGUAGUUAUCUUCAUUUCUUCUUUGGGGAGAAGCUUGAUUUUCUGUAAGCUGCAGAAGAUAGCUCAAACCAGCAGCUCAGCCAGUUAAGGGGACGGAGGCUGCUGGUCUGCAUCCUUCCAAUGGUCUUUCGUCUCCCUUUUUCUCCUAACUUAAAGCUUUCAUGAUGGAGAAGUCUUCCCUGUUGUCUGCAAUUUUCCUUCUCUCAAAACAACCUUCUGAAUCCUCUUUUGGGGUGGGGUUUCAGAUGUUGUGAAACCAUCACAUGCUUAUGAACUAGCAGACAUACAGCACCGGAAGUUGAGAGGGUGGACUGCUAUUAGACUGCCUGGGCUGAGUCCUGAGGGCACCUCUUGCUUGCUUGAAUGACUUCGGGCAAGUUACUUCACCUCUCCAAGAUGUCAUCGGGGCUCAUCAAAGUACCCGCCCCAUGAGGUCUCCUUGUGAGAACAACAUGAGAAAAGCCUGUGCAAAAUGCUUGCCUGCCACGUAGAAAAAAAGCUUCCAUAAAUGUUGGUUCAUAUUGUGAGCUUUCAAAUCAACCAAGUGUGAAUAAUUUCUACUUCAUUCCAUUGGCUAUGGCAGGGGAAUACAAAGAUUUGUCAGAGCCAUUUCCAGCCUACAGGAGUUUACAGCUAUCUGACUUUACAGCUACGAGUGCCGUGAGAGAGCUACAAACCCAAUGCUGCAGGUGUUCAAAGUCAGAGAUUUAAUAACCACGGAGCCGGGAAUUAGGGAAAGCCUAAUGGUGAAUGGAUUUAAGCUGACCCCGGUGGAAUAUGAAGUACAAAGCUGACUUCCCUGCAACUCUGUCUGGUGACAUCCUUUUCUUUUUCCAAAGAGAUACUCAAGACUCAGAGAGAUUCAAAACCACCCAAGGGUCACAGGUGGUUUAUCAAAACCCCCACCCCACCCCCCAAAUACACACCAAAAAGCUAGGUUUAAUAAUCCAUGACUCAGAACCUGGAAGGCUCUCUGCAGGGCUGAGGGGCCUCGCCGGCUGUCUAUGACUGCUGCCCGCCUAGCAGGCACUGACCCAGGCCCCAGGCUCCAGGACAGUGUGCUGUCAGCCAGAGGCAGCUGUCAGCCAGACUGCUCCCCUCCUCUCAGCCUGGCAGGGGUACUCAGGGUAGUUCUCUCUGUUGGGGACCCUAAGCAUGAAACAGUAUUGGAGGAGGCUGUGCUGAGAAACCCACUGAGGGAGGAAGGCUGACGGUCUGUGUUCUUCUAGUGGUCUCUCUUCACCCUUUGUUCUCCUAGCAUAAAGCUUUCACGAUGGAGAUGCCUUCCCCAUCAUCUGCAGUUUUUCUUCGCUCAAAACAAGCUUCUGAGACAUCUUUCCGGGGAGCUUUGGUCAUUAGAGCUUGGGAGAGGGAGGCCCUUCUCUUCCGGUGUCCUCACAGGGUCUCUGUCAUUUAGAUUCUUGUUGAACAACUGGGCUUUGGAGGGGGUUGGAGGAGACAGUGAGUGAUGGUGCUGGGGCCCAGGGCCAUUCCAAGCAGAAGAAAGGCACUAGCAGGGGCAUGAGGCAGGACAGCCCAGGGCAUGUGUGGACAUCUGGGAAGAGUCUGUCUAUAUUCUGACUAGGAAGUGUACAUGUGAAGGAGUGAGAGGUUAGACUUGAAAGAUGAGGGUAGGUGUGGGCCAGACUGCAGAGGGUUGUCCUUACUGCAGUGGAUCACGGGGAACCAUGGAAGCUUCCAGAACAAGAAGUGAGCUGAGACAACAACUGUGACAUAUAGUUUGUUGAGUGAAUGAAUGAAUGAAUGUCUGAGGAAGACACGACAGUGGCAGGAGGGGAGAGUCCCCUACAACAAGCCCCACAGCCCUGCUGCAUAUGCUUAGGUAACCAGUGUGAACUGCUCUGCAAAUUCAGACCUCAAGUAAAGUCAUAUCUAUUCUAUUUUUUACAAAUGAAAAAUAAAGCCAGCUCAGACCUACAUGCCAGAGGAAUGAGAAGUCCAAAAUCUCUCUCCUGGUACUCCCUGUAUCCCUCCCUGCUUUUUGCUGUCAGCUGCCGUUGACGCUGGUCCUCUGAGUCUAAGACAGUGCUGACUGCUGCCCAGGUACAGGCUUCCUUGAUCUCCAAGGGAGGAGUGUGCCCACAUAGUGCUCCGUGGCUCCCUCAGUUCUCAGGGCUCUGGUACUCACCUCCUUCAGGCCCACACCCAGGCAUCCCCCUAAGGACAGCAGUCCUAGGAGCCUCCACGGAGUCUCUCAGGCCUCCACCUCUGUGCCUUCAUGUCCUGCCUUCCCUAAACACCCAUCACACAGGAAGUGGGGCAACUUUCCUCUUCCAGCCUUGGGACACAGAGGACAACAGCUUUCCUGGAAAUGUGGUCACCCUAAGUAUUGCCAGGGGUCCAACAGCCUCCGAAUGCAAAGGGUCUAAAGACACCUUUUUCUCCAAAGAUGAAGUCACUCUCCCUCUUCAACACAGAGAUCCAGAUCCUCUCCUGGGAACCCAACACCCCCAUCCCUUUUCAGGUGUGAAAGAGGCUCCGUUUAGUGCCUCAAAAAGGACUUACUCCACUAAGAAAAACCAAGGAAAUGCCAAGAUCUCUUUUUGGGAGCAGAAAAAGAAGAAAAAGGGAGAAGGGAGGAAUAUUGAGGAUCUCCCACUAUGUUUAUAUUGUAACAUUUUUCAUCCUAUAUUAUAAUUUCUGCUAUUUUACUUGGAAUUUUCCUUAAAAUUAGAUAUCCUUUAUAUAGUAAAAUCUCUAGCAUAUAGCAUUUGUUUAUUAGUUACUGAGGAGGAAGGAGAGGAAACAAAGAAGCUAGAAGAUGGAAACUGAGAUUUCAUCUUUUGCAUGGCAGGUGCCCUAAGCCUCCAACAGCCUUAUAAGGAAAGUAUUGUUAUUAUUAUGAUUUCACUGAUUUAAAAAAUUGAAGACAUAAAUGAGACGAGUAAGUGAAUAAAUGGCAAUGCCAUUUCUGUCUUCCUUUCCACCAUGCAAACAUGGCUUACUUUCCUGAAUCAUAAAACAUUUUUCAAGACGUCAGAGAGCCAAAAAAAGUAUAUUAAAAACAGAUUAAAGCAGUAUGGUUUCUGAACCAUUCAGUAAAGGAUGAAAAUAGCUUUGUUAUCCAGAGACUGUCUUCAUAAAGUCAUUAUUAUCAUGAGUUAGAACCUGUAUUAACUCAGAAAUUAAAAUAGUGCUGUGUGCGGCAAAUUCUGAAGACACACUCCAUGAUUUUCAGAGCACCUAUUAUUAUUCUCCUGAACUUUAGCUGGAUCUGAAUGAUUUACCAUAAGAGGAUCCUGUUUAAAUGUUCUACUUCACAAAGAAAAAGUAAUAAAAUUGGAUGAUUCUGAAAACCUUAUUUUUAUAUUAAUUAGGAAUGAAGUACAAACUCUAGAAUAAUCAGUCCAAUGCUGGCAUUUAGAAAGAAAAAGAAGUCCUCACACGUACUCCCCAGGUUUCCCAGGGGACAGUUCUGGGACCUCAAGCAGACUUGGAACAGUCCCUGUGGAAGAAAGUCAUUUACAGGCUUGAUUCUAAUUGAUCCCAACAGCAGCAGCUGUAACCAUAUACUUUUAAUCAAAUCUAAAGGCAAACUUAGGACAAAAUAUGUGUUCUUCUACUAAAACACACAGUGCAUUUUUCUGAACUAUAUGAUUACAUUUUCUGGAAAGGACUUGGGGAAUUAUUCUUGUUCUAACCUCCGAGAGAUAUUGCCCUCUGUAUUUGGCAGUCUCUGUGUCUGUUUCUGAUCUUCUGUUCUGGGGCACCUCACUCUGACGGGUCCCUUUAGGGCUGGAGUUUGCCACAUGGUCACAAUCUUCAGCCGUGGGGUGGAGACUCUUUGACAGGUGAUCCCUUGUCUGCUGAGCUCUGCCCAGCCCUGUGAGGAGAAAGGCAGCUAGCCUGCACAGCCUGGUGCUCCAAAGAUGGAUCCUCUCAGAACAAAGGGGAGCAGGUGUAGGGACAGAUGCCACCUGUAGCAACAGCUUUCAUCCAGAAGGGGUCCCCAAGCUAAUCCAGUGCUUGGUACAUUUGCAUUCUCCCAUUAAUAUCACAGGCACAAUACUUUAGGUGAGAAAGAGAAGACCACAAAUGAACAGAGAUCCUUCCAUAUUUGCUUCACGGAAGCCCUCCCCUGAGCUACCUGAGGGUAGGUAUAAUACCUUAUCUCUCACUCACAACACCUGCAAUAACAGGUACAUGACAGAUGAUGAAAGGGGCUGUAUUAGUCUAUUUUCACACUGCUAUAAAGAACUGCCAAAGACUGGGUAAUUUAUAAA
rnacentral:lncRNA from 10 species